AGUUCUCGUUGAUGAUCGGUGCUUGCACCGAGAUUCAACAUGGAACGAGUGGCGGACGGGUGAGUAACACGUGGGUAACCUGCCCUUAAGUGGGGGAUAACAUUUGGAAACAGAUGCUAAUACCGCAUAGAUCCAAGAACCGCAUGGUUCUUGGCUGAAAGAUGGCGUAAGCUAUCGCUUUUGGAUGGACCCGCGGCGUAUUAGCUAGUUGGUGAGGUAAUGGCUCACCAAGGCGAUGAUACGUAGCCGAACUGAGAGGUUGAUCGGCCACAUUGGGACUGAGACACGGCCCAAACUCCUACGGGAGGCAGCAGUAGGGAAUCUUCCACAAUGGACGCAAGUCUGAUGGAGCAACGCCGCGUGAGUGAAGAAGGCUUUCGGGUCGUAAAACUCUGUUGUUGGAGAAGAAUGGUCGGCAGAGUAACUGUUGUCGGCGUGACGGUAUCCAACCAGAAAGCCACGGCUAACUACGUGCCAGCAGCCGCGGUAAUACGUAGGUGGCAAGCGUUAUCCGGAUUUAUUGGGCGUAAAGCGAGCGCAGGCGGUUUUUUAAGUCUGAUGUGAAAGCCCUCGGCUUAACCGAGGAAGCGCAUCGGAAACUGGGAAACUUGAGUGCAGAAGAGGACAGUGGAACUCCAUGUGUAGCGGUGAAAUGCGUAGAUAUAUGGAAGAACACCAGUGGCGAAGGCGGCUGUCUGGUCUGUAACUGACGCUGANGCUCGAAAGCAUGGGUAGCGAACAGGAUUAGAUACCCUGGUAGUCCAUGCCGUAAACGAUGAAUGCUAGGUGUUGGAGGGUUUCCGCCCUUCAGUGCCGCAGCUAACGCAUUAAGCAUUCCGCC
rnacentral:rRNA from 2 species